rnacentral:rRNA from 1 species
GGAUUAGUGGCGAACGGGUGAGUAACACGUGGGCAAUCUGCCCUUCACUCUGGGACAAGCCCUGGAAACGGGGUCUAAUACCGGAUAACACUCUGUCCCGCAUGGGACGGGGUUAAAAGCUCCGGCGGUGAAGGAUGAGCCCGCGGCCUAUCAGCUUGUUGGUGGGGUAAUGGCCUACCAAGGCGACGACGGGUAGCCGGCCUGAGAGGGCGACCGGCCACACUGGGACUGAGACACGGCCCAGACUCCUACGGGAGGCAGCAGUGGGGAAUAUUGCACAAUGGGCGAAAGCCUGAUGCAGCGACGCCGCGUGAGGGAUGACGGCCUUCGGGUUGUAAACCUCUUUCAGCAGGGAAGAAGCGAAAGUGACGGUACCUGCAGAAGAAGCGCCGGCUAACUACGUGCCAGCAGCCGCGGUAAUACGUAGGGCGCAAGCGUUGUCCGGAAUUAUUGGGCGUAAAGAGCUCGUAGGCGGCUUGUCACGUCGGAUGUGAAAGCCCGGGGCUUAACCCCGGGUCUGCAUUCGAUACGGGCUAGCUAGAGUGUGGUAGGGGAGAUCGGAAUUCCUGGUGUAGCGGUGAAAUGCGCAGAUAUCAGGAGGAACACCGGUGGCGAAGGCGGAUCUCUGGGCCAUUACUGACGCUGAGGAGCGAAAGCGUGGGGAGCGAACAGGAUUAGAUACCCUGGUAGUCCACGCCGUAAACGUUGGGAACUAGGUGUUGGCGACAUUCCACGUCGUCGGUGCCGCAGCUAACGCAUUAAGUUCCCCGCCUGGGGAGUACGGCCGCAAGGCU